rnacentral:rRNA from 1 species
AUUGCCCUAGUAACGGCGAGUGAAGCGGCAACAGCUCAAAUUUGAAAUCUGGCUCUUUUAGGGUCCGAGUUGUAAUUUGCAGAGGGCGCUUUGGCGUUGGCAGCGGUCCAAGUUCCUUGGAACAGGACGUCACAGAGGGUGAGAAUCCCGUACGUGGUCGCUGGCCUUCGCCGUGUAAAGCCCCUUCGACGAGUCGAGUUGUUUGGGAAUGCAGCUCUAAAUGGGAGGUAAAUUUCUUCUAAAGCUAAAUACUGGCCAGAGACCGAUAGCGCACAAGUAGAGUGAUCGAAAGAUGAAAAGCACUUUGGAAAGAGAGUCAAAUAGCACGUGAAAUUGUUGAAAGGGAAGCGCUUGCAGCCAGACUUGCCUGUAGUUGCUCAUCUGGGCUUUUGUCCAGUGCACUCUUCUACAGGCAGGCCAGCAUCAGUUUGGGCGGUUGGAUAAAGGUCUCUGUCACGUACCUCCCUUCGGGGAGGCCUUAUAGGGGAGACGACAUGCAACCAGCCUGGACUGAGGUCCGCGCAUCUGCUAGGAUGCUGGCGUAAUGGCUGUAAGCGGCCCGUCUUGAAACACGGACCAAGGAGUCUAACAUCUAUGCGAGUGUUUGGGUGUCAAGCCCGGACGCGUAAUGAAAGUGAACGGAGGUGGGACCCCUUUUAGGGUGCACCAUCGACCGAUCCUGAUGUCUUCGGAAGGAUUUGAGUAAGAGCAUGGCUGUUGGGACCCGAAAGAUGGUGAACUAUGCUUGAAUAGGGUGAAGCCAGAGGAAACUCUGGUGGAGGCUCGCAGCGGUUCUGACGUGCAAAUCGAUCGUCAAAUUUGGGCAUAGGG